ACUCAAAUGAAUUGACGGGGGCCCGCACAAGCAGCGGAGCGUGUGGUUUAAUUCGAUGCAACGCGAAGAACCUUACCCAGACUUGACAUGGCCUCGCAAGCCGGGGAAACCCGGCCCUCUUCGGACGGGGUCACAGAUGUUGCAUGGCUGUCGUCAGCUCGUGUCGUGAGAUGUUGGGUUAAGUCCCGCAACGAGCGCAACCCUCGUGAACUGUUGCUACUCAGUUCAGACUGCCGGUACAAGCCGGAGGAAGGUGGGGAUGACGUCAAGUCCGCAUGGCUCUUACGUCUGGGGCUACACACACGCUACAAUGGCCGGGACAGUGCGCAGCCACGGGGCGACCCGGAGCGAAUCGCAAAACCCGGUCUCAGUUCGGAUGGCAGGCUGCAACUCGCCUGCCUGAAGUCGGAGUUGCUAGUAACCGCGUGUCAGCAUAGCGCGGUGAAUAUGUUCCCGGGCCUUGUACACACCGCCCGU
rnacentral:rRNA from 1 species